UACGAAGGGGGAGCUAGCGUUGUUCGGAUUUACUGGGCGUAAAGCGCACGUAGGCGGAUUGUUAAGUCAGGGGUGAAAUCCCGGAGCUCAACUCCGGAACUGCCUUUGAUACUGGCAAUCUAGAGUCCGGAAGAGGUGAGUGGAACUCCUAGUGUAGAGGUGGAAUUCGUAGAUAUUAGGAAGAACACCAGUGGCGAAGGCGGCUCACUGGUCCGGUACUGACGCUGAGGUGCGAAAGCGUGGGGAGCAAACAGGG
rnacentral:rRNA from 1 species